AUACGUUCACGACCUUUUGGCUGAGAUCAAAGUGUAGUAUCUGUUCUUAUCAGGUUAAAAUCUCAUACGGUUCCUAUUUGGGACCACAAUAUUAAACUGAUUUUUAGAAUGAAGCAAAGUCAGGGACUUUCUUCGCCUUUACCACGGGUUGGCCUGGUAUUAUAGUACUUCCAGAAUUCAGCCCAUCUUCA